AUAUCCUGGCAGGGGAAAUACCAUGAUCACCACGGUGGUUUUCCCAGGGUGAGGCUCACCCCUUGCACUCCGGGUGCAAUUUCCCCAAAUGUGGGAAGCUGAAAUGCAUAGUUUGUGGUUAGGGGUGGCUGCAUUUGCACUUUCCCC
rnacentral:snRNA from 1 species